CACCACCAACGGUGGUUCUUUAA
rnacentral:snRNA from 1 species